rnacentral:rRNA from 1 species
AGAGUUUGAUCAUGGCUCAGAACGAACGCUGGCGGCAGGCUUAACACAUGCAAGUCGAACGGGCGUAGCAAUACGUCAGUGGCAGACGGUGAGUAACACGUGGGAACCUUCCUAGGGGUACGGAACAACUCAGGGAAACUUGAGCUAAUACCGUAUACGUCCGUGAGGAGAAAGAUUUAUCGCCCUUAGACGGGCCCGCGUCGGAUUAGCUAGUUGGUGGGGUAACGGCCUACCAAGGCGACGAUCCGUAGCUGAUCUGAGAGGAUGAUCAGCCACACUGGGACUGAGACACGGCCCAGACUCCUACGGGAGGCAGCAGUGGGGAAUCUUGGACAAUGGGCGCAAGCCUGAUCCAGCCAUGCCGCGUGAGUGAAGAAGGCCUUCGGGUUGUAAAGCUCUUUUGUCAGGGACGAUAAUGACGGUACCUGAAGAAUAAGCCCCGGCAAACUUCGUG